rnacentral:rRNA from 1 species
UACGUAGGCCGCGAGCGUUGUUCGGAAUUACUGGGCGUAAAGAGUGUGUAGGCGGUGCUCUAAGUUCGGUGUGAAAUCUCCCGGCUUAACUGGGAGGGUGCGCCGGAAACUGGAGUGCUCGAGCGUGGGAGAGGAAAGCGGAAUUCCUGGUGUAGCGGUGAAAUGCGUAGAUAUCAGGAGGAACACCUGCGGUGUAGACGGCUUACUGGACCAUAACUGACGCUGAGGCACGAAAGCGUGGGUAGCAAACAGG